UACGUAGGGUGCAAGCGUUGUCCGGAAUUACUGGGCGUAAAGAGCUCGUAGGUGGUUUGUCGCGUUGUUCGUGAAAACUCACAGCUCAACUGUGGGCGUGCGGGCGAUACGGGCAGACUUGAGUACUGCAGGGGAGACUGGAAUUCCUGGUGUAGCGGUGAAAUGCGCAGAUAUCAGGAGGAACACCGGUGGCGAAGGCGGGUCUCUGGGCAGUAACUGACGCUGGAGGAGCGAAAGCGUGGGGAGCGAACAGG
rnacentral:rRNA from 1 species